UCUCCGUUGGUGAACCAUCGGAGGGAUCAUUACCGAGUUUACAACUCCCAAACCCCUGUGAACAUACCAUUUGUUGCCUCGGCGGUGCCUGCCUCGGCAGCCCGCCAGAGGACCCAAACCCUUGAUUUUAUACAGUAUCUUCUGAGUAAAUGAUUAAAUAAAUCAAAACUUUCAACAACGGAUCUCUUGGUUCUG
rnacentral:misc_RNA from 1 species